rnacentral:rRNA from 1 species
GACGAACGCUGGCGGCGUGCUUAACACAUGCAAGUCGAACGGAAAGGACCUGCUUUUGUGGGGCGCUUGAGUGGCGAACGGGUGAGUAACACGAGAGUAACCUGCCCUUGAGUUCGGGAUAACUUCAGGAAACCGGGGCCAACACCGGAUAGGAGCUCCUGCUGCAUGGCGGGGGGUGGAAAGUCUCGGCGGUUGGGGACGGAUUCGCGGCUUAUUAGCUUGUUGGUGGGGUAGUGGCUUACCAAGGCGGUGACGGGUAGCCGGCCUGAGAGGAUGACCAGCCACAUUGGGACUGAGAUACGGCCCAGACUCCUACGGGAGGCAGCAGUGGGGGAUAUUUCACAGUGGGCGGAGGACGGAUGCAGCAACGCCGCGUGCGGGAUGACGGCCUUCGGGUUGUAGACCGCUUUCGCCUGUGACGAAGCGUGAGUGACGGUAAUGGGUAAAGAAGCACCGGCUAACUACGUG